CUUGAACUGCCGCUGUGAAACCACAGCACAAUAACAGAAAUCAUCCCCGCCACUGACGAGACUGAGCGGGUCGGACUGGCAGAGCCUCUUUGUCAAGGUCCCUGACGAAGCUGUGUGGCGGACAGAGCGUCGACUGAACCAGACGUUUCCAACAUCGGACCUCACGGAGACCCGCUGCACUGUGCAAAGUAAAUGUUUACCUGGACUUGGACGACUGGCGUUUUAUACGGGGCGAUGCUGAAGAUGGACGCCGUGUAGCUGUCAGGGAUGAACUGUGGCGCCUCAUUCAUGUCCUCCACCUGAACUUUGACCUGUGUGACAGUCACAUCCUUCAGUGAAACCACACCUUGUUUGCUGAUGUCAAAAGUGUCGCUGGUGUAGACGAAGAAGCCAUUAGAGAAUCCUCCCUGCAGGACAAGAGCAUUUCCCAACUAGCAGAGGCGUCCCCCCGUCGGUGGCCUGCACCAUCAGAGUGUAGCCGUUCACCCUACUGUAGUCCAGAGGCUGAUCCAGCAGCAGGGUCCCGGUGGAAGAGUUCACCACAAAGACAGGGAGG